rnacentral:rRNA from 1 species
GACGAACGCUGGCGGCGUGCUUAACACAUGCAAGUCGAACGGAAAGGCCCUGCUUUUGUGGGGUGCUCGAGUUGCGACCUGGUGAGUAACACGUGAGUAACCUGCCCUUGUCUUUGUGAUCACUUCAGGUAACUUGGGCUCAUACCUCCUAUGAGCUCCUGCUGCAUGGUGGGGGUUGGUAAGUUUCGGCGGUUGGGGAUGGACUCGCGGCUUAUCAGCUUGUUGGUGGGGUAGUGGCUUACCAAGGCUUUGACGGGUAGCCGGCCUGAGUGGGUGAGCGGAGAGAAUGGAACAGAGAUAAGGCCCAGACUACUACGGGAGGCAGCAGUGGAGAAUAAAGAACAAUGGGCGGAAGGCUGAUGAAGAAAAGCAGCGUGGGGGAUGAAGGGAAUGGGGUUGUAAACAGAUUUCGCCUGUGACGAAGCGUGAGUGACGGUAAUGGGUAAAGAAGCACCGGCUAACUACGUG